CGUCUGUCCAAACAGGAAGAAACAGGGAAAACACACCUGAGUGAUGAAGUUAGGCUCCACGGGCGGACGCUUCUGCCCGCUCACCGACAGUAAACCACCGAGCGGGUUUUACAGACUACUUUUCUCCAGUGUCGGUGGCCUGUGGCUCCGGUCCGCAGCAGCAGCGUUGUCUGGGGGCUGACGCACCACCGCGAGAGGAGGAAGGCGGGCGGCGGGGGGCGCUAUCACAGCAUCGGGCUGGGCUAGGCUAGGCUAGUUGCUUCAGCCCCUGAAAACCCUGAACAGCGAGAAACUUCGUAAAGAUUCAGCGGCAGCCUGGUGUUUAAAAGGCCGCUCCGGAGUUCACCGGGAAUAUUAAAAACAACCAAAUCUUAAAGCCAGAAAACUAAAACCAAAACGUGUUAGCCUGGCGGUGUUAGCAUGGGUAGUUAGCUAGCUAGUUAGCUCUCAUCAGCGCUUGUCAACAGAUCCAGGCUCUAACUGCAGGGAUGUAGCGAAGAGAGAAACACCGUAACUCACUUUUCCACAUCCGCAGAAACUUAACUCACAUUGUAAUACUAACGCAAGCGUUUUAGACAUUAACUCCCACCGCGCUUCUUAAUUAGCAUUAAGUUAUGUGCGGAUAGUGGGUUGGACACGCGCCAGAGGAUCAUUUCUGAGACGCAGAUUUCUGUAGAGUCGGUUUGUUGAUCCGUCGGUGAGUCUUUGGGGCUGAGCUAACUUUUCGGUGAGUGUCGUUAGCAUGGAGGCAGGGGAGCCUGGCAGCUGCAGCUCGGAGCGGUUACAUAACGCCAGCAGGUCGGGAGAGAAGCUGCUGAACGUUUCACCGUCCUCAGCCAGGCUCUGACAGCUGUAACCUGCUCCGACAACCUCCCCCCCGACACACAGACACACACACACAGACAGGACAACAACAACACGGCAGCAUGGAGGAGGUCUGAGCCUGCAGGGAGACAGGAAACUGAAAACAAGAGGGAACAUUUCGUUGAAGAUGGAUUCAAACCCGCUGAUAAACGCCAUGGACCCAUCCAUCACGCUGUGGCAGUUCCUGCUCCACCUGCUGGACGACCAGCGGCAGCGUCACCUGAUCUCCUGGACGGGUGAGGACGGAGAGUUCAAGCUGCUGGACGCCGAGGAGGUGGCACGACUGUGGGGGCUCCGCAAGAACAAGCACAACAUGAACUACGACAAACUGAGCCGAGCCCUGAGAUACUACUACGACAAGAACAUCAUCAAGAAGGUGAGUGGUCAGAAGUUUGUCUACAAGUUUGUCAGCCAGCCCGACCCCUCCCUGCCUGAGGGGGUACGUAAUGGAGAGGAGGGCCAGAGGAGGGACAGCGUCGAUCCAAACAGCCAAUCAAAACGCAUCGGGGGCGUUACCUCAACCUGUCCGUCAAAGGGCUUGCCCCAGCGUUCGUCGCCCAGCAGCUCCCAGAAAAGCUCCAGAAACGACUAUAUGAAGUCCGGCCUCUACUCCACCUUCACCAUCCAAUCACUGCAGGCCUCACCCAACCCACGGCCAAUCAAAACAGAGCUGCUGCUCCAACAGGACCCUGCGCCCAAGGUGGACUGCACAGCCAGAGAGGUCUGUGUAUUGUCAGAAUCUAAAGCCUCUCCGUCAGUAGGUGGAGCUGUUGACUCUGCUCUCCAGGUGAUCGUCACUCAGCCGUCUCCCUGUCCGACUCCGGCUCUCAGCCCCCAGAUACCAGCCAACGCCACGAGCCAAUCACAGAAUCCUCCUGCUCCUCCUCUGAGCGACCCUCCUCAGAUUUAUCUCACCAGUGUCGGGGAUCCGUCCUCCCUCACCCCCCUCAUCCCCCUGGGUCCCGUCGGGGGGUCGGCUAGUCCCGUCCCUCCCUCCCACGUUUCGAUGGGCCUCCAGGGGCCGCAGCAGGAUGACUGCGGGGGAGUCACCAACCCUGCCAGCUUCCCGCCUCACCCCCACACUGCUCCUCACCCAACUCACCCCCCGCCUGUCUUUGUUAUCAUCAACCCCCCUCCCGCCCAACAGCAGCAGCAGACGGCCAUGGCGGCUGCUGCUGCUCCCCCUCCCUCCGUUCCUCCCCCAGCCCGUCCUCCUCCCCCCAUUGUCAUCAAGGAGGAGAACCUGCCGUCAGAGGAGGAGCUGCUGGAGAUGGUGUCUCUGGAGGAGAAGCAGGUGGAGGAGGUUCCUCAGCUCAUCUGUGGCUCAGGAGACCCGGAGCACCCCCUCACCAUCGUGGAGAGCCCACCCCCCCACUGCAUGGAGCCUGGGGUUGGAGGUCAGCCGCCUGCAGGGGAGGGGGCAGCAGAGGGAGAGGGCAAGGACGCACGAGCAGAUUCCUCCGUCCCUGCAGAGACACCCACCUCAGCGGUGACCCCUCCCGUGACCUCCACCUCUGAUGCUGCCCCUCCCAAACCAAAGAAGCCACGGGGCCUGGAGCUGCCGUCCUCCCCCUCCCUCCCCCCCGGCCUGUCCCUGGAUAAGGUGAAUGCAGCUGUUAACAGUUUACUGGCUCCUGGAUCAGCGACCAACACCCUCACCCCGACCGUCCUCACGUCCCACGCUCUGACUCCGGUCCUGUUGACCCCCAGUCCUCUUCCCUCCACCAUCCACUUCUGGAGCACGCUCAGUCCCAUCGCUCCUCGCUCCCCGGCCAAACUCUCCUUCCAGUUUCCCACUAACGGCAGUAAUCAGAUCCACAUCCCGGCUCUGAGCGUGGACGGUCUCUCCACGCCUGUGGUCCUCUCCCCUGGGCCCCAGAAACCCUGAGGUCCCUGCCCACCUCACACAGCUCCUCACUGGGCACAGAACUCACCUGACCGCCCCCUGGUCUUCGGAGAGCUGGACCUGGACUGACUCUGACCAGCAGCGUCGCCUGACUGGUAAGACUGGGAGAUUUGGUGGUUUAUGGGGACCUUUCACUGGUGGAACUCUUCGCAGCUGGAGAAUCAUCGUCGCAGCCACGACAUCAGCUUCUCAGCUGAGUAUCUUAAACACGCAGAGGGGAGGUGGACGUCUGAGCGCCGUCCUCCGUACGGCCUCCCCUCAUUCCUGUCAGAGUUUUUGUCGUGGCACUCGAACAAUACGAUGAGGGGUUGUGGGAAAACGGGACGCGUCUCUUCACCUGAAGACGUCGCGAGAAGCCAACAGUCUGAAGACAGAUGAUGAGGAGGAGGGGUUUAUUUUUUCUUCUUCUACUGAGGGCUUCAACUAAAGAUCCAGGUCCAGGAUGAAGAUUGUUUUAACUGAUUUAACCUUUGAUGAUCUGAACUGUGAAAAAUAAGCGACUGACCCACGGUCUGGAAAGUUUUUACUGAAACCAUGAAAUCAAACUUUUUUAUGGACUGACUGGCUGAAGACCUGUUUCACACAGGAAGGAUGUUUUUAAAUCAGCUGAUGAGGUUUGGAUCAGAGAGUGUGGCGGCUGAAACCGACCUGAGCCUCGUUACUAUUCACGAGGAAACGUCUGGAUUAACGUCACAUCUUUCUCGUGGGAACUUUUUGCUCUUUAUCGUCUGUUUUUUAAAAAGUGGUUAUUUAUUCUGCUUCCUGUUUUCAGGCCGGUCAUGUUGGCUUCGGACUGUAACGGGCGUGUUUGGUUCUCACACUCCCAGACGACUGUUUCCUGUUUGAUCGGGUGGUUUCAGCACCAACAGCUUCGUUUUACGACGUCGCCUCAGCUGGAUUCUUUCAGAAGCGACUUUUUGAGCCAUUUAAAGGUUUUUGCUUUGCUCUUAUUGGCCGCUUGUUAAGGCCACGCCUUUCAGCACUUAUGCAUGGCCUGUUAUUGGACGGAACAUUUUUGACAGUGGGACAGACUGUACAUUUUCUGUGUUUGAAUUUGAAGUUAAUCUGAGUCUGCAGGACCGAGCAGUUUGAGUCACAUUCCUCUGGCUUUAACGUUUAGCGAUGUUUGUUUUAUUGAUUGAUAACUGCUCGUUUUACUUUCAGCGUCCAUUCCAGGCGUACAGUAGGUCUCUGCUGCAGCUCUGACUGAUGAACAUUUCCUCUGCGCUGUUCUGUUCUUGGUGAAAGCCUCGGACUCACGGCCUCGUCAGUCUGCAGCCACAGGUCCACAGUUCUGUGGCGAGUCUUUCCUGUCUGUCUCGGGGGGACAGAUGGCUGUGAUUUGGAGAAGCCACGUUUUUUUUUCUGCUGUGGUUUUUUCACUGAGACAGAGUGUGUCAGCUGCACCAUCGCUCCGCCCGCGGCGUGAGUCCAUCCGCUGAGGACGACCACGGCGAGCGGCCGCCGAGCUGCAGCUUCUUCUUUUGUUUUUCUCCAAAAAUCCAAAGUGAGGACGAACCGUCGCUGACACGUGACGGUUCCUCUAAAAAGACUGUUGCUGUUGUUGUUGUUGUUGUUGUUGUUGUUUGUGAUGCUAGCUGAGCUCUGUGGUUGCCACGGUAACCUGGCCUGACUGUUGCUGAGCUGCAGGUUGCUGUUGUUGCUGUUGUUGCUGAAGCUCCCUGUGAUGAUGCUGUUAAUGUGUUUCUAUGCUUCUGUGUGACGACAAGGCUGGUCUCACACACACACGCGCACACACACGCACACACACACACACGCACACACACACACACACACACACACACACACACACGCACACACCAUCAGGAGCUGAAUGACGCUGAAGUUCAGGUGUAUUUCAGGGAAGCUGAAGCUGUGAGUGAAACUCUGCAGAAUUUAGUUUUAUCCAAAUCACUGUUUUUAAAAAGUGAUGAAAGUGAAAAUGUGUUUUUCUGAGAAACAGAACAGUUUAUCUGCUUUAACCUCAGUGUUUCAGCAGCCAGGUGAGUUCAGAUCAGGUGCAUGGAUCCAGCUUUCAUUCGGAGCCCAGCUGGAGUUUUUAUGGUAGAAAUUUUUGUGAGCUUGGUGUAAAAAAACUCUGCAGACGUGUUGAAUCAUUUCUUCAGGUCUGAGUUCAGCCUCACAUCAGUUCCUGACGGUGGGAUUUCCCAGCCUCGGCAGUGACGUAAAUGCAGCACCAAGCCAUCGUGUUCGACUGUUCUCUCCUUUACAGCAUGACUCUAUUUUUCUAUCAGAGACGACGUGUUUAUAUUGUGAAUAAAGUUUAGAGAGCGACGAAGCCUUAAAGAUUUCAGAGCUACAGAGCGAGGAGUGUGCUGGUGACGAUAAGAAGCCAUUUCCAGCUGAACUCUGCGCGGCGUCAGGCAUCUUUGGAACGUUAAGCUAACAUUUCUCUCACCAGCAGAACGCCAAGAAUGUUUUUAUGUUCAUUAGCAACAGCGUUGCAUUCUGGGUAACGUCCAGACUCCCACUUUGGGAACUUCCUGUCACCUGAGGCGACGUUUGGAGGAGAACUGUCGGGUUCACAGGAAAAAAUAAAAAGAUGCAGUGUGGUUGAAAACAUAAUAAUAUUUAUAUAUACUGAUUUGGAUUCAUCGUUUCCCAUCAGUAUAUGUUGUGAUAUAAUCAAUAAUCAGGUAGAUCAGACUGAUUGUUCAUGUUAAACACCAGCUCCACGAUGUUCAUGAAUCAGUGCAGUGAUUGGUUAUUGAUUACCACACUGCUACACACGUGGUGACGUUCGUCACGUGGCUUCAUACGUGUCAAACUAAAACUUUAAGAUUCGAACGUAUUGAAUCAAUUCAUCUUUAAUCAGUUGUUAAUUGUAAAGUUGUACCAUCGCAGUCAUCGUGUGAUACUGAGGGAAAGUGACUCACCUCCCCCCUCAGCUCCCCCCUCAGCUCCCCCAAACCUCCCCCAUCUGAACGGGACUAACGUAGAGACUCGGGCAUCCUGGCUUCAAGUCACGUCUCGGGUCUCGUUUCUUUGAUGAAUGUGUUCGAGCAGGAAGAGAUGCAGGCUCCGCACCACCUGCACGCUCUCACCUGCUGACAGGUGUGUGUCUGUGGUAAAUCACCACUGGCUUUCUGCAGGUUUGGUGUUUUCAGUUCAUGAACUUCAUCAGUUUCGUUUUCUGAACCCAAAACUUUCCUGAGGUUUCUUAAAGUGCAGAGAGGGACGGUCUGCUGUGGUCUGGAGCUCUCUGAUUGGAUGUUUCUUACAGCAGUGCACUCUGGGACAUGGAGUCAAAACUCAAUGAUUAACAACUCUGAAUCAGUGAUUGAUUACCCUCAACACAAACAACCGAGUUCUCAUUUUUCAUUCAAAUGACAUCGAGUGAAGAGACGGGCGGCCGACCGCAUACUUUUGGCCAUGUAGUGUGUUUGUGUUUGAAGAAGCUGACCCGGGCAGGAUGAAGUCCAUCAGAAAGCUCCGGAAACAGACGCGUCUCCUCUGCUCUGAGCUGCAGAGCGUCCUCCUGAUUGGUUCACGUGCACACGUUUCUGUACAUAGAUGAAAUAUAAUCGGAACGUAUGAACAUAUAAAUCUAUAUAUUCUGUACUGUGUGACAGGCCUGACCAAUGGGCUGAGGAGUGUUCGUGUUGUGUCUGUGGCCCCGCCCCUCCUUGCCUGUGAUUGGUUGAGGAGUUUAUUGAUGUUAGGGGCGGGGCCUGCAACUCUCCCUGUCCUGUAAGUUCUAUACUGGAAAAACUAUUUUUAUUUUUUAUGGACAUGAUUUUAGUUUUUGUUGUAAAUGUUUUACAGAUGAUUCAUCUGGUUUUCUACGAGCUAAUACACACACACACUCAUACACACACACACACACACACAUACACACAUACACACACACACACACACACACACAUACACACACAUACACACAUACACACAUACACACACACACACACAUAC